GGUAGGAGAGCGUCGUAACCGGGCUGAAGUCGUACCGUAAGGAGCGGUGGACUGGUUACGAGUGAGAAUGUUGGCAUCAGUAGCGAGAUGUGGGUGAGAAUCCCACAGGCCGAAAACCUAAGGUUUCCUCAGGAAGGUUCGUCCGCUGAGGGUUAGUCGGGACCUAAGCCGAGGCCGAAAGGCGUAGGUGAUGGACAACUGGUUGAUAUUCCAGUACCACUACCAUCGUUAUUAUCGAUGGCGUGACGCAGGAGGAUAGUGUGUGCUAGCUAUUGGAUGCUAGUCUAAGCGUUUAGGCAGUGAGAGUAGGCAAAUCCGCUCUCAUAAUGCUGAGGCGUGAUGGGGAAGGUUCCACGGAACCGAAGUACAUGAUUCCACGCUGCCAAGAAAAGCGUCUAGAGAGAGAAGUAGUGCCCGUACCGCAAACCGACACAGGUAGGUGAGGAGAGAAUCCUAAGGCCGGCGGAAGAAUUACAGUUAAGGAACUCGGCAAAUUGACCCCGUAAGUUCGCGAGAAGGGGUGCCUACGAGAGUAGGCCGCAGAGAAUAGGCCCAAGCAACUGUUUAGCAAAAACACAGGUCUCUGCUAAAGCGUAAGCUGAUGUAUAGGGGCUGACGCCUGCCCGGUGCUGGAAGGUUAAGGGGAACACUUAGCGCAAGCGAAGGUGUGAACUUAAGCCCC
rnacentral:rRNA from 1 species